UUUAUGAAAUAACACUGAAUUCAUAUUAGGACACUAGUGUAGGAAACAGUGUUUGUGUGUGUGUGUGCGUGUGAGAGUAUGUUAUCUGUGUAUGUGUGUGUGUGAGAUGGAUUUUCGUCAGUCUCUCUGGAGGAGUGGAGGUGAAGCUUGUUCUGCUGCUGAGUUGAACGGACUGUGUGCAGGUCAGAGGGAGAUGGACAGCUGUGUGGCUCUCAUUCUUCUGUCCUCCACAAUCACACUCACACAGCUAAGCCGCUGUACUGGAAGAGUGGAGGUUAAUGUUGAUGGACAGUGGAGAGGAGUGUGUAGUGUUCAGUGGGAUAUGACUGAUGCUGCAGUGGUGUGUAGAGAGCUGGGCUGUAUGAACGCUCUACGCAUUAGUUUAAAGAGUUCAGAAUCACUGAGGGCUGUGAGGAGAAUCUGGUUCUACAAUGGAACCUGGGGUAAUGUGUGUGAUAAUGGAAUAGAUGAAGAAACAGCAAGCUUGAUCUGCCAGGAGCUGAACUGUGGAAGAUCUGGCAGUGAGAAUAGAGACAAAGCAAGAGUGAAAUCAGCUCCUAACUGGCUGGAUGAUCUGCAGUGUAGGAAACAUGACUCCACUCUGUGGCAUUGUCCAUCUUCACCCUGGGGAAAUAAUAAGUGCAACAAGGUGGCUCACACCUGUUCAGAUCACCUGCCUCUCAGGCUGAGGGGAGGAAAGGGAAGCUGCUCUGGAAGGCUGGAGGUGUAUCAACGCUAAGUGGGGCUCUGUUUGUGAUAAUCUGUGGGACAUCAGGGAUGCUCAGGUGGUCUGCAGGCAGCUGGGCUGUGGGCCGGCACUGAGUGCUGAUGGGAGUGCUGUCUUUGGUGCUGGUGUAGGGCUGAACAGAGUGAAGUGGGACUGUCCUCAUUCCCUGAAGAACCACACUGACUGCUCCCACAGGCAGGACGCUGGAGUCACCUGUACAAAUGUAUGUGUCCCUUCUACUGCUAUAUCCAUAACAACAUUCACCACCUCCACUACUCCAGUUGAUCAGACAGUGAAGGGAACAAUCACUCCUCCACAAACUCUUCCAGCAGCCAUUCCAUCCAUCUAUCCAGUGUCUCUCCUGGGAGCAGGGCUCUUCCUGGCCUUAGUGCUUCUGGUUGUGCUGUUUUACCAGAACAGAGUGCUCAGGAGAGUGCUCUCUAAGAGGAGGUGCAAGACUCUGAAUGAGGCAGUCUAUUAGGAGAUCAACCGCAGAUACAUCACUGAAACAAAUGACUCGACUCCAGAAGGUGAAUCAGCAAAAGAGGACACAGCAGAGAGCUAUGAUGAUGUCUUCACUGCUGGACAGAUAUCUGAUAGUGUAGCAGAGCUCAGCUGUUGUAACAGGUUCAACUUAAAUUAUCUUCCCAUGUUGGUGUUGUGGACAUACCAGAGAACUAUGAUGAUGUCAUCCCUGCUGGACAGGAUGUUGGAGAGGUAAAAGGUGAGUGUCUACAUUCCACAUGAAUAUUAAUGAGAAGGAUGAAGAAAGUGAUUGAAGUACAUUGGAAUUCUCAUGAAAGCAUGUUUGCAUUAUCUAUGGCAUAUGAUAAACAGUGUCCUCAUUAUUUUGAUGUAGAGCAGAACGCUGCCCUUUUUAGUAAAGUACUUUAUUUUAUACUCUUCACUCUUUAAAGAAGUGCAGCAAUAUGUAUUCAUGUGAAGUCAGUUCAGGUGACUAAUUUAUAAAUCAUGUUUACUUUCACACUCUGAGCAGAGGUAAACUGACCAUUGUGAGGACUGGGACAAUUCUUGGUGGGCCACUAUGUAUGUGGGCGGCUGAGAGAGAGAAAGAGAGAAAUGCAUGUUUGUUUCUUACGUAAUUAUAUACAAGAUGAACGGGGCAAAUGGCAUGCGCUGGGUGAAUACUGGAGUGCACAGACCUAGACACAUUAGGGACUCACUGCAUUCUCAGUGUGUGGCUGUUGGGCAGUCAUGCAAAUGCUGCCACUCCAAAACAAAGCAUAAUGAUAACAACCAGGAAGGUUCAACCGUAAAGGCCAGCUAGAGAGAGAUGGAAAAAACUUCCAAAGGGCGUAAGGGCACAGAAAAAAUACAGAAAGUUACUUAAAUAAGAUGCAAAGAAAUGAAGAAAUGAAAGUACACAAUUUGUUUGGAUGUCAGAGCAAGGAACCACAGGGCCAAAGAGCAGAAGGGGUAAGUUCAUUUAGUCUACUUAUACACUAAAGGCCUAUGCACACCAAGUACGAUUUGUUUCGGUGAAAAAAAAAACACCCAAAAAACACAUUUUCAAUGUAGUGGUGCCUUCACACUAAAUCUGAUGCACAGAAGAUGCAAGAGGAACAAGAUAUGGAUUCUUUGAGAGAUAACGAUGAUCAAUCCAUAAUAUUUUCUUUUAAGCGCUGUACUGCAUGACACACAAACUGAUUGCUCUGCAUAUUGCUCCACUCAUUAAAAUGAUCGCUUGUUAGCGAGGGCAGCUAAUAUUGUGAGGUUCUUUGUGGAUAUGAACAGACUAGAAUGCACCUAGAUAAACUAAAAAGGCUGUACAGUCACUAACGUAUUCACUGUUAUUCACUCUCCUUUCAGCUAUGGCCUGUCAUGUAUUUUCAUUUCCGGUAUUUUCUUUAACAUCUGCAUUUUAUAUUCAGCUUGUUGCUUGUUGUAUAAGCUUUUAUGCUCUGCUGAGUCCUGAUGCACAUUUGUUUGGGCUGCAACCAUGACAACAGAGCUCUGAUUGGUCAGCCUGAUUUUUAACGCUUCUGUACUACACAGAAAAUCGAGCAGGCUCUAUUAAAAAAUUAUGCAGCGUUGCAGUCCAUCAAUUUUAGACUCAAUGUGACAGAUGGCACUAACAUACAUGUUCAUUUUCAAAACUUGUGCAUUUAAGUAUGUGACUCAUGUAAAUAGGCCUGAUUUUUGGGGGUCAUGGUGGGGGGAGAUAACUGUGUAGUGGUCUUGUUUAGAUAAAAACACAGGGCUCUGAGUGCAGAUGUGCAGAAGUGUGCAUGUAAAUAAGAUUGAUAAUGAUUAGUACACCCGCAGGACAAUGCAGAUGAUUGAAACUUUAGCAAAGUUGGUAUUGGUUUUGUUGGUGGAAUCUUUUAUUUAAGGACACAGAAUAGACCUUUAAAGCUGUAGGUUCUGGUGGGUCAGUGUCCAGCACAGUUUGGGGAUUUCUCUGACCAGAGUUGAAGAGCCUUGGACUAAAGACUAACCUGGAGGGGAAUCAGACUGAACUAAACUCAUUCAGUAUUCACUGGCAGUACCUUAGCAUCUUUCUUAGCAUCUUAGCAUUAUGGUAGUGUUUUAAGAAUUAUCGAAAAGAAACUUUUAAAGAACAGCUUGUUCUGAGUUGCAGACUACCUGUUACACAGACUUGUAUAGUGUUUUAGUCCAGUUUUCUGUUCUUCUCUUUUGGGUGUUUUUGGAAUACAUUCACUAUAAGAAAGAUAUAGUUUAUUGUAAUAAUUUUAAGAGUUUAAUGCUCUUGUUGUUUUACAGACUAUGAUGACGUGGAGGAGGAGCCUCAGACAGAGAUGAAUCAUGUGACUGAGGGACCACUGAGAGCCAGUGUCUUUCCUCAGGAAAUUACAUUCAAACGCAAGAAACUUUAAGAUUUUGUUAUAGAUUACAUUUUUUAUGGAGCAUGAAUGGGAUAUGGUGGGGUUAAACACCCCCACAUUUACUU